UACGUAGGGUGCGAGCGUUAAUCGGAAUUACUGGGCGUAAAGCGUGCGCAGGCGGCUUUGCAAGACAGAUGUGAAAUCCCCGGGCUUAACCGUGGGAACUGCAUUUGUGACUGCAUGGCUGGAGUGCGGCAGAGGGGGAUGGAAUUCCGCGUGUAGCAGUGAAAUGCGUAGAUAUGCGGAGGAACACCGAUGGCGAAGGCAAUCCCCUGGGCCUGCACUGACGCUCAUGCACGAAAGCGUGGGGAGCAAACAGG
rnacentral:rRNA from 1 species